UGGACAGAAUGUUGAUAUUGUGGCUGUUGAUGCUGGUUGUAAAUGGUAGAUGGAUGGUCGUUGGUUGUGCUGAUUGUAGACUGAUUGCAGGAACAAAUAUGAUAACUAAAUGUUCUUUGAAUUGAUUGGUAAGACAGUCAAAUCUUGGUUUUGAAGCCUUCUUAUGAUAAAAAGUUUUCCAAAUUUUGACCUGAUUUUACUCUGGUCUGUUGCUGGUUUUAAAAUGUUAGCCCUGAAACACUGUAGUUGCUGUGAUGAUAAAAAGGAUGGACACAAGUUGAACGUGUUUUGACCUGUGGCUCAUAAGUGCUGUGUUGAUAAAAAAAUGGUGGACAAAGUUGAACCUUGUUUCACCUGUGGCUCACAUGCUGUGAUGAUAAUAAUGGUGGGCAUAAGUUGAACCUGUUUUAAUCUUUCGGUGAUGCUGCAUUUGAGAUGGACCUUUGAUAUGCUGGUCUGAAAUUUGCAGCCACAACAAUAAUUGGACAGGGUAAAACUGUUAUUAUUUAAUUAUUUGUUUGGAAAUUC
rnacentral:lncRNA from 1 species